GAAUUGCGAUAUGUAAUGUGAAUUGCAGAUUUUCAGUGAAUCAUCGAAUCUUUGAACGCAUCUUGCGCUCCUUGGUAUUCCGAGGAGCAUGCCUGUUUGAGUGUCAUUAAAUUCUCAACUCCCUUUGAUUUCUUCAAGGGUGAGCUUGGAUUGUGGAGGCUUUGCUGGCUGUAAAGUCAGCUCCUCUGAAAUGCAUUGGCAAAGGUUGUGUGCAUGAAAUAUGGCCUUUCGGUGUGAUAAUGAUCACUGUGGGCUGGUUGCUUUAACACCUAUGUCCAACUUUUUCCAGCUGGAAAAAAACACUUGACAACUUGACCUCAAAUCAGGUAGGACUACCCGCUGAACUUAA
rnacentral:misc_RNA from 1 species